ACAACAGCAAUGAAAAGGAGAGUAGGCGGCACACAAUGCCACAGAGAGCCCCGCAAGCUGAAAAGGGGCGCAGGAAUGACGCUGAACAUGGCCUUGGAGCUUCGCACCGACUGCUUAGGCAUAGGCUGCGACGGGUUGCGCCCGUUACUGCGUGAGGGUAUGUUUUGUACCUGCUGAGGUCUUUUUUGUGAAAAAAAGAUAAACUAAGGUGGUAACACGGUCACUUCCGUCCUUUGC
rnacentral:ncRNA from 1 species